rnacentral:rRNA from 1 species
GAUGAACGCUGGCGGCGUGCUUAACACAUGCAAGUCGAACGGAAAGGCCCAAGCUUGCUUGGGUACUCGAGUGGCGAACGGGUGAGUAACACGUGGGUGAUCUGCCCUGCACUUCGGGAUAAGCCUGGGAAACUGGGUCUAAUACCGGAUAGGACCACUUCUUGGAUGUUGUGGUGGAAAGUUUUUUCGGUGUGGGAUGAGCUCGCGGCCUAUCAGCUUGUUGGUGGGGUAAUGGCCUACCAAGGCGUCGACGGGUAGCCGGCCUGAGAGGGUGUACGGCCACAUUGGGACUCAGGUACGGCCCAGACUCCUACGGGAGGCAGCAGUGGGGAAUAUUGCACAAUGGGCGCAAGCCUGAUGCAGCGACGCCGCGUGGGGGAUGACGGCCUUCGGGUUGUAAACUCCUUUCGCUAGGGACGAAGCGUUUUGUGACGGUACCUGGAGAAGAAGCACCGGCUAACUACGU